rnacentral:rRNA from 1 species
UACAGAGGUCCCGAGCGUUGUUCGGAUUCACUGGGCGUAAAGGGUGCGUAGGCGGUCGGGUAAGUCUGAUGUGAAAUCUCACAGCUUAACUGUGAAACUGCAUUGGAUACUAUUCGGCUUGAGAGUUGGAGGGGGGACUGGAAUUCUCGGUGUAGCAGUGAAAUGCGUAGAGAUCGGAAAGAACACCAACGGCGAAAGCACUCUGCUGGGCCGUAACUGACGCUGAGGAGCGAAAGCAUGGGGGAGCGAACAGG